UACGGGGGGGGCAAGCGUUGUUCGGAAUUACUGGGCGUAAAGGGCUCGUAGGUGGCCAACUAAGUCAGACGUGAAAUCCCUCGGCUUAACCGGGGAACUGCGUCUGAUACUGGAUGGCUUGAGUUCGGGAGAGGGAUGCGGAAUUCCAGGUGUAGCGGUGAAAUGCGUAGAUAUCUGGAGGAACACCGGCGGCGAAGGCGGCUUCCUGGACCGACACUGACGCUGAGGCGCGAAAGCUAGGGGAGCAAACGGG
rnacentral:rRNA from 1 species